AGCUGUGAGGGCGAUCUCACUGCGACAUCUGUCACCCACGGAUCUCCAGGGAUGACUCUGCUGCUCUGGCUUGCUGGGCGGCUGUCCCCUUCCUCUCUCACCACUCCCUGUGUGUCCCUCAAAGCCCCACGCUUGGUGGAAGAGGAUAACUCCCCCGAUACUGGAGUACUGUUUCCUUGGUCAGGGGUCUAGGAGUAGCUGCGCUGCCCUGCUAGAACCUCCAAACGUUUGAUGCUUGUCCUUGAAAAUGCUCAUCUGUUUUCUGUCCCCUCCUGAACACGCAUCA
ensembl:misc_RNA 7SK 7SK RNA